UCCACCUACGGGGGGCAGCAGUGAGGAAUAUUGGUCAAUGGGCUUACGCCUGAACCAGCCAAGUCGCGUGAGGGAAGACUGCCCUAUGGGUUGUAAACCUCUUUUGUCAGGGAGCAACGCCGGCUACGUGUAGCCGGACUGAGAGUACCUGAAGACAAAGCAUCGGCUAACUCCGUGCCAGCAGCCGCGGUAAUACGGAGGAUGCGAGCGUUAUCCGGAUUGAUUGGGUUUAAAGGGUGCGCAGGCGGAAUGCCAAGUCAGC
rnacentral:rRNA from 1 species